AAUAAAAUGCCUGAUUAAAGGGUUACUUUGAUAGAGUAAAUUAUAAAGAGUUAUCUUUUUUUAUUA
rnacentral:tRNA from 2 species